GUGAAAAGAACCCCGGGAGGGGAGUGAAAUAGUACCUGAAACCGUAUGUCUACAAGCAGUCGGAGCGAAAGCGACGGCGUGCCUAUUGAAGAAUGAACCAACGAGUUAUCUGCACUAGCGAGGUUAAGUGGAAGACACGGAGCCGUAGCGAAAGCGAGUCUGAAAAGGGCGGCGAGUUAGUGUAGGUAGACCCGAAACCGCAGUGAUCUACCCAUGUCCAGGUUGAAGCGCAGGUAAAAAUGCGUGGAGGACCGAACCGGUGAGCGUUGAAAAGCUUUCGGAUGAGAUGUGGGUAGGGGUGAAAUUCCAAUCGAACGCGGAGAUAGCUGGUUCUCCCCGAAAUAGCUUUAGGGCUAGCCUCAGGUAGUAAGUAUAGGCGGUAGAGCACUGAUCGGGCUAGGGGCCAUAAAGGUUACCGAACCCUGUCAAACUCCGAAUGGAUAUACUGCAGAGCCUGGGAGUCAGACUACGAGUGAUAAGAUCCGUGGUCAAAAGGGAAACAGCCCAGACCACCGGCUAAGGUCCCAAAUGCCGUACUAAGUGGAAAAGGAUGUGGGGAUUCAUAAACAACCAGGAUGUUGGCUCAGAAGCAGCCACCAUUUAAAGAGUGCGUAAUAGCUCACUGGUCGAGAGUCCCUGCGCCGAAAAUUUCCGGGGCUAAAGUACGGAACCGAAGCCGUGGCUGUGCAUGUAAGUGCACGGGGUAGGGGAGCGUUGCCACAGGGGUGAAGCUGGUCUGGAAGGACUGGUGGACUUGUGGGAAGUGAGAAUGUUGGUAUGAGUAGCGAAAAGAAAGGUGAGAAUCCUUUCCACCGAAAGCAUAAGGAUUCCUGAGCAACGAUCGUCGUCUCAGGGUAAGUCGGGACCUAAUCCGAGGCAAAGAGCGUAGGAGAUGGACAACAGGUUGAUAUUCCUGUACCGGCAGCAAUUGUUUGAGCGAAGGAGUGACACAGAAGGGCAGGCAGGCGCGAGACUGGAUUGUCGCGUGCAAGCGUGUAGGGUAGUGUACAGGCAAAUCCGUACACUGAAAGCCUGAGGCGUUACGCGGAGCGAGCAGAGAUGCGAGCGAAGCUGCUGAUCCCACACUGUCGAGAAAAGCUUCUAGUGAGAGAGCUGCCGCCCGUACCGUAAACCGACACAGGUAUGCGGGGAGAGAAUCCUAAGGUGCGCGGGAGAACCCUCGUUAAGGAACUCGGCAAAAUGUACCCGUAACUUCGGGAUAAGGGUAGCCGUCUUGGUGAAGGAGCUUGCCUCUGGAGCUGAAGGCGGUCGCAGAGAAGAGGCCCAAGCGACUGUUUACCACAAACACAGGUGCCUGCUAAAGCGAAAGCUGACGUAUAGGUGCUGACACCUGCCCAGUGCUGGAAGGUUAAGGAAGGAUGUCCGGGCAACCAAAGCAUUCGACCGAAGCCCCAGUGAACGGCGGCCGUAACUAUAACGGUCCUAAGGUAGCGAAAUUCCUUGUCGGGUAAGUUCCGACCCGCACGAAAGGUGUAACGAUUUGGGCACUGUCUCAACGAGGGACCCGGUGAAAUUGAAAUACCUGUGAAGAUGCAGGUUACCCGCGACUGGACAGAAAGACCCCAUGGAGCUUUACUGUAACCUGACAUUGGGUUUUGUUGUAUUACGUACAGGAUAGGUGGGAGGCUUGGAAGGCUGGACGCUAGUCUGGCUGGAGCCGGCGUUGGGAUACCACCCUUGAUACAACGGAAUUCUAACCGAGAGAGUAACGAAAUCCGGGACAGUGUCAGGCGGGCAGUUUGACUGGGGCGGUCGCCUCCGAAAGAGUAACGGAGGCGCCCAAAGGUUCCCUCAGCGCGGCCGGAAAUCGCGCGAAGAGUGUAAAGGCAGAAGGGAGCUUGACUGCGAGCCAAACACGGCGAGCAGGUACGAAAGUAGGGCUUAGUGAUCCGGUGGUACCGAGUGGAAGGGCCAUCGCUCAACGGAUAAAAGCUACCCUGGGGAUA
rnacentral:rRNA from 1 species